rnacentral:rRNA from 1 species
UCCUACGGGGGCAGCAGUGAGGAAUAUUGGUCAAUGGGCGCGAGCCUGAACCAGCCAAGUCGCGUGAGGGAAGACGGUCCUAUGGAUUGUAAACCUCUUUUGUCGGGGAGCAAAAGACGCCACGUGUGGCGUUCCGAGAGUACCCGAAGAAAAAGCAUCGGCUAACUCCGUGCCAGCAGCCGCGGUAAUACGGAGGAUGCGAGCGUUAUCCGGAUUUAUUGGGUUUAAAGGGUGCGCAGGCGGGCUGUUAAGCCGGCGGCUCAAAUUCAGGGCGCAAUCCUGCC